UACGUAGGGUGCAAGCGUUAAUCGGAAUUACUGGGCGUAAAGCGUGCGCAGGCGGCUUUGCAAGACAGAUGUGAAAUCCCCGGGCUCAACCUGGGAACUGCAUUGUGACUGCAUGGCUUGAGUGCGGCAGAGGGGGAUGGAAUUCCGCGUGUAGCAGUGAAAUGCGUAGAUAUGCGGAGGAACACCGAUGGCGAAGGCAAUCCCCUGGGCCUGCACUGACGCUCAUGCACGAAAGCGUGGGGAGCAAACAGG
rnacentral:rRNA from 1 species